GCCCGCGUAGCUCAGCAGGAUAGAGCACGUGCCUUCUAAGCAUGGGGUCGGAGGUUCGAAUCCUCUCGUGGGCG
rnacentral:tRNA from 1 species